GUGCCCACAGGGCUCUGAGUUCAGCACGGACAGCAGAAGGCCUCCUAUCGUGGGAACUGACAGUGACCGGGCCCCUGUUGACUGAAGCCAGAAGAAACAGGGAGCAGAUACCCCAGUAACGUGACAAGCACAUCAAAUGAGGGGAAGGAGUGGGCAGAGAAGCAAUGAGGUCUGCAGUCAUUGUCCCACAUGGAUGUCCAGGAGGAUUUGGGAGGCAAAGUCCAAGUCAAAUGUGUCGAAUGAAACAGAAACAUCUUAGCAAGGAUUUGCUUCCAUCAAGCAUGCAAGCUGCCUGCCAGUCUCGGGACCCAGCCACAUAGCUCUCGUCCAGCCUUGUGUCGUGUGCAUGGGCCCAGCAGGUCUCACUGUGCCCACAGGGCUCUGAGUUCAGGACCGGCAGCAGAAGGCCUCCUAUGGUGGGAGCUGACAGUGGCAGGGCCCCUGUUGACUGAAGCCGGAAGA